rfam:Sphingomonas sp. SKA58 scf_1100007010440 genomic scaffold, whole genome shotgun sequence.
UCUCAAGCGUGAGGUAAGGGCAUCUGGUGAAUGCCUUGGCAUGUACAGGCGAUGAAGGACGUGGCACGCUGCGAUAAGCGUGGGGGAGCUGUGAGCAAGCUUUGAUCCCGCGAUUUCCGAAUGGGACAACCCACCUUCACCAUUUAAGACUGGUCCAGCCUUCUGGCUGGCCCCGUGUUAAAUGGGAGAGGUAUCACUAAGCUGAAUAAAAUAGGCUUUGGUGAAGCGAACCCGGAGAACUGAAACAUCUCAGUACCCGGAGGAAAAGACAUCAACCGAGAUUCCGUUAGUAGUGGCGAGCGAACGCGGACCAGGCCAGCGCCUGAUAUUUAGUUAGCAGAACGAUCUGGAAAGUUCGGCCAUAGCGGGUGACAGCCCCGUAUGUGAAAGCGAAAUAUCAGGACUUGAGUAGGGCGGAGCACGUGAAACUCUGUCUGAACAUGGGGGGACCACCCUCCAAGCCUAAAUACUCGUACAUGACCGAUAGCGAACCAGUACCGUGAGGGAAAGGUGAAAAGCACCCCGAUGAGGGGAGUGAAACAGUACCUGAAACCGGAUGCCUACAAGCAGUGGGAGGGUCCUUGAGACCUGACCGCGUACCUCUUGCAUAAUGGGUCUGUGACUUAGUGUAU